rnacentral:rRNA from 1 species
UUCGGUGGCCACAGCGGAGGGGAAACACCCGGUCCCAUCCCGAACCCGGAAGUUAAGCCCUCCCGCGCCGAUGGUACUGCCUGGGUGACUGGGUGGGAGAGUAGGUCGCUGCCGGAA